AGACUAAGCCAUGCAUGUCUAAGUAUAAACGCUUCUAUACUGUGAAACUGCGAAUGGCUCAUUAAAUCAGUUAUAGUUUAUUUGAUGGUUCUUUGCUACUUGGAUAACCGUAGUAAUUCUAGAGCUAAUACAUGCAGAAAGUCCCGACUUCUGGGAGGGACGUAUUUAUUAGAUCCAAAACCAGCGCAGGUGCCUUCGGGUCCUGGUUGCUCGGUGAUUCAUGAUAACUGCUCGAACCGCAUGGCCUCCGCGCCGGCGGUGCUUCAUUCAAAUUUCUGCCCUAUCAACUUUCGAUGGUACGGUAGUGGCCUACCAUGGUUGCAACGGGUGACGGAGAAUUAGGGUUCGAUUCCGGAGAGGGAGCCUGAGAAACGGCUACCACAUCCAAGGAAGGCAGCAGGCGCGCAAAUUACCCAAUCCCGACUCGGGGAGGUAGUGACAAUAAAUAACAAUGCUGGGCUAUCGUAGUCUGGCAAUUGGAAUGAGUACAAUCUAAAUCCCUUAACGAGGAACAAUUGGAGGGCAAGUCUGGUGCCAGCAGCCGCGGUAAUUCCAGCUCCAAUAGCGUAUAUUAAAGUUGUUGCAGUUAAAAAGCUCGUAGUUGGAUUUCGGGGCGGCCUGGCUGGUCCGUCGCGAGGCGAGCACUGGUCAGCCGCCCUUCCUCUCGAAAGCCCCGACUGCUCUUCGUUGCAGUGGUCGGGUAGUUCGGGACGUUUACUUUGAAAAAAUUAGAGUGUUCAAGGCAGGCUUUCGCCUGAAUACAUUAGCAUGGAAUAAUGGAAGAGGACCUCGGUCCUAUUUUGUUGGUUUCUGGGGCCGAAGUAAUGAUUAAGAGGGACAGUUGGGGGCAUUCGUAUUUAAUUGUCAGAGGUGAAAUUCUCGGAUUUAUGAAAGACGAACAACUGCGAAAGCAUUUGCCAAGGAUGUUUUCAUUAAUCAAGAACGAAAGUUAGGGGUUCGA
rnacentral:rRNA from 1 species